GGUGCCCUCAGAGACUCCAUUUUAAGGCAACAAAAAAGGGAGAAUUAGACUGACCUGGCAUCUUAUUGGCAACAAAAUAGGAACUGAGUAAUCAGAACCAGUGGAAUGUCAGAGCCUGGCCAAGAAUGAAAAAUGGGAGGAUUUGAUGCCAAGAACCGUUGUCAGGGACUGGAAAACAUCACCUUCUUCAUCUGCCUGCCUGCAGAAGGAACUACAUUUAAAUUUGCUGAGCAGGAUGGAUCCUGCUAUAAAAAGGCUUUCCUGUAAGGAAUUGGAAGGCAAUAUGCAAAUCAGAGCUGGAGCGCAUGUCCUCAGUGCCUGCUCCCAGGGGUGGAAAAACAGGGAGAAGUUAGGUCCACUGUGCAGUGCAUUCUC